CACCUUUGCAAUUCCGUUCUCAGCAACGGACAAAAUUGCUGGUUGUCCUUUGCACCAAGGCCAACUUUCGUGCAAAAACACGGCAUCACGGAUAAUACCAUCAUAAAGCUAAAGAAAAUUUAUUAUUACUGAAGCAGAGGUAAACAGCAUGUUUUGUAGCCUUGAGGCAGUCAGCACUCUCUACUUGACAAGUAAAAUCAUCUGGCAUUAGACAGAGUAAAAUAAUAAAG
rnacentral:lncRNA from 1 species